AACCCCCUGAUCCCUGUAGAAAACUUUGGCCGGUCUACUCAGGAAUCAGGGGGUGCAAACUGCCCACUGGCAGAAAGGAUUAUAGCAAAUGCGUAACCUAUUGCAAUACAGCCCGGCCAAUAUG
rfam:Erwinia amylovora strain LebB66 plasmid pEL60 complete sequence.